UACAUAGGGUGCAAGCGUUGUCCGGAAUUAUUGGGCGUAAAGAGCUCGUAGGCGGUCUGUCGCGUCUGGUGUGAAAAUCCAGGGCUUAACCCUGGACCUGCAUCGGGUACGGGCAGACUAGAGUGCGGUAGGGGAGAUCGGAAUUCCUGGUGUAGCGGUGAAAUGCGCAGAUAUCAGGAGGAACACCGGUGGCGAAGGCGGAUCUCUGGGCCGUAACUGACGCUGAGGAGCGAAAGCAUGGGGAGCGAACAGG
rnacentral:rRNA from 1 species